UAAAGCUCUUUGCAUUAGAAAUGAAUCAUGUGUCUUACUCUCCAAUCCUUCUGAGACAGCAAAGUUCUUUGAUGACCAUUUGAAUCAACUUUUUACUACAUUCAAUCCUUUAGAACUAUUAUGUCUAUAGGGUCUCUUUAUUAAUGCUUUAAAACCUGAGAUCCCACACCUAGAGUCUCAAGGUUUUUGGAGUAUUCUAUCUAUUGGACUAUUAUUUCAGCAACUGCUUUGUUGGAGAGUUGGAUCAGGUUCAAAUAUUAAAAUUUGGUUUCACCCUGGAUUCUAAGUUUCUAACUAUUCAAGAUUUUAAAAUCACUAGCUCGGUUCAAGCCAAUGUAGAUUACACUUUGGUUUCUGAACUCAUUGACUCUGUUUAUAUCCUUAGCGUAUAUAUGUCAAAAAAUGUUUUAAACUUAUUUGUGUAAUGGAAAGUAGCACAUCAACUAUGAAAAUGUUGCCAUGGUGGUCUACUGAAAAAAUAUCAUCUUAACAGAUUUACCAGACAUGGAUACUUGCCCUCCAAUCUACUCUAUCAGACAUCAGACAUCCUUAUCAUAGAAAAUUGUAUUAUUUGUUUGGAGUGGAAAAUCCAAAGACAUUACAUUUAGUUGGUUUCUAUAUUUCCAACUGGAAAUGUUAUUCUUUUAGGCCUAUUGGAGUGCACAUUAUCUGUUUGUGAAAACUCCCAGCCCAGAGUAGCAGAGAGCUACCAGUUGCAAGCAUCAUGUAAUGGCUGCAAAUCGAAGUUCUGUGGUAUCACAGAAAGACAAGGGAUGAGCGGCUUUCAUCUGAGGAGCACUAAGAAUGGUUCAAGGAUACUCUCAUUCUGGAGCAUGUGAAACCUAAUGCUUCUGUACGUGUCCACCUUCAUGUGCUUGUCUCUGUUUUUUUAUUUUGUUCCCCUCCCUACAAAGAGGAUUUUAAUCUACUGUGGGUGCCAAUGUCUGGAUGAACCUGCUGAGUGAGCAGCUGCUUUUCUCAUUGUAUUUCCUUAUAGCUCUAUAAUUACUCUGCUCUAACAAGCUAAGAAUGGCUUUGUUUUAGCACUCUUUCUUCUGCUCCAGAUGAAGAUAGUGCUUUUACUGUUGCAGUCUAACCUGGUUACAACAUAAAUCACUCGACCCUAAGAAAGGUUCACUGUGAACAAAUUUAUAUGUUAAAGUACUACCCCUGAAUUUUCUCUAACUAGUUACCAUUAGAAAAACAAAUGCCUUCUCUAAGCAUUCGAAUUAGGUAAUGUUCUCCACCUUUUGUAUUAUAUUUCUUAUCCUGCCAUGCGUGUACAUGCAUCCCUUAUUUGCAUUCACAAUGUUCUUUGAUAAGCUUUUGAUUAUCAACAUUCAUAACCCAUUAAUGCAGCCUGCGUUUUCAGUCAUAUUAUGAAGAUGAAAAGUAAUUGGAUGCCAACUGAAGCUUUUCUGAUUAUGGAAAUUCAAUGCAAAUCUUUCUUCCUGGAAUCUUCUAAUGGAUGAACUAAUUGAGCUUCAUUUCUGCCUCCACAACUAUUGGUUCAGCCCUUACUGGUUUCUCUUUUCUUUUCCUUUUAUUGUUUGCUUUCCUUGCUCUAAUGAUAUAAUUAAACCUGCCUGAUGAGUUCUAUCUUUCCAAAUACAUCUUUCUGGGAGGCAACAGUUACAUUGUUACGUACUUGCAUGUCUUCCUCAUUGCAGCACAGAUGUAAGAUAUUGGAAAUCUCAUUGUUCAUCAUACAUAGGUCUAAAUAAAAAAGGCAUACCCAGUGCCUGAGGCUCCCACAUUGUGGGGUCUUGGGAGGGUCAUAAUGUAUGCAGUCUUACCCCCACGAGGCUGUUUUCCAACUCAAACCUGUGACGACCACUAGUAUAUAUUGUAUCCAAAAUAAAAAUUUAUCUGUAUGGAAUUUAUUUAUUUAUUUAUUUUAUUUUAUUUUAUUUUUUUUUUUGAUGGAGGAGAUACAUAUGUUGUCCAGAGGAUUUAUUGUUAACACAACUGUACUGUGACUAAGGUAUUGGCAAUGCUUCGUGGUGUUCAUAUGGUUCUGAAACCUACUGGAAUUUUCAUCUCAAUUUCUUUCUGUCAGGUAGAAAAACAAAUCAGCUAUGUUGUUCCCCUGCCCCAUGUACUAUUAUCUAAUUAUGCUACUUGUGAUUUUGUUUCUCUAUUAGCCGUACUUCAGGCAUCCAUUGUUUGAAGCUCCUGAGUUUACCUGGUCCGUUCAAUGAGAAACUUUUGGGGCUGCAUUCCGCUAUUUCUUCUACAUCCUGAAGAAGGUCCAUAUAAAACUAUAAUUAUGGCUACAAUCAUAUUCUUAUGUUCACAUAAGCUGUCUUUAUAUGGUCUUACCUCAUGAAACUCUUCCAUGAUUAUUUGACAUUUCCUGGUUUGUAUUCUUAUUGUUGUUGACCAUUCAUUGAGGGGAAGAAGUCUAACAGAUUGCAAAGGAUUCAACCAGAUAGAAUCAACGCGCCAUCUAUUUGUUUACUUCAUCAUGAGGAGUUAGAGAAUGAAGAUUACAUUUUUCGAACAACUAUUAAUGAGUUGGAUAAUUAAGUAUCAAUGUAACUUCUUUAUCCAAAUGGUCAUUCAUUAAAGGGACUUGCACUUCUUUUGCUCAUUAAAAAGUACUUUUUGUGUUGCUUA